GGCGAGCGCUGGCGGCAGGCCUAACACAUGCAAGUCGAACGAACUCUUCGGAGUUAGUGGCGGACGGGUGAGUAACACGUGGGAACGUGCCUUUAGGUUCGGAAUAACUCAGGGAAGCUUGUGCUAAUACCGAAUGUGCCCUUCGGGGGAAAGAUUUAUCGCCUUUAGAGCGGCCCGCGUCUGAUUAGCUUGUUGGUGGGGUAAUGGCCCACCAAGGCGACGAUCAGUAGCUGGUCUGAGAGGAUGACCAGCCACAUUGGGACUGAGACACGGCCCAAACUCCUACGGGAGGCAGCAGUGGGGAAUCUUGCGCAAUGGGCGAAAGCCUGACGCAGCCAUGCCGCGUGGAUGAUGAAGGUCUUAGGGUUGUAAAAUCCUUUCACCGGUGAAGAUAAUGACUGUAGCCGGAGAAGAAGCCCCGGCUAACUUCGUGCCAGCCGCCGCCGUAA
rnacentral:rRNA from 1 species